rnacentral:rRNA from 1 species
AUUGAACGCUCGCGGGAUGCUUUACACAUGCAAGUCGAACGGCAGCGCGGACUUCGGUCUGGCGGCGAGUGGCGAACGGGUGAGUAAUGUAUCGGAACGUGCCCAGUAGCGGGGGAUAACUACGCGAAAGCGUAGCUAAUACCGCAUACGCCCUACGGGGGAAAGCAGGGGAUCGUAAGACCUUGCACUAUUGGAGCGGCCGAUACCGGAGUAGCUAGUUGGUUGGGGAACGGCUCACCAAGGCGACGAUCCGUAGCUGGUUUGAGAGGACGACCAGCCACACUGGGACUGGGACACGGCCCAGACUCCUACGGGAGGCAGCAGUGGGGAAUUGUGGACAAUGGGGGCAACCCUGAUCCAGCCAGCCCGCGUGUGCGAUGAAGGCCUUCGGGUUGUAAAGCACUUUUGGCAGGAAAGAAACGUCGCGGGCUAAUACCCCGUGGAACUGACGGUACCUGCAGAAUAAGCACCGGCUAACUACGUG